rnacentral:lncRNA from 10 species
UUCUAGCCUAUCUAAGGGCUUUGGAGAGCAAAAGCAAAAGAUUAACUAACUGCUCACAUGGGUCCCAGGAAAAUACAAAAGCACUACUGUUUAACAGGAAAGUUACUAUCCAGAAAUUAACCCACAAAGGUGGGAAGAGUAUUUACCCGCUAAUCUCUUUAUUCCCUCGCCUGACAAAAUAUCUGCAUUCCUGGGCGGCCUCAAGAAAUGAACUACAGACAUCUAUUCCCUUUGUGAUACCUCCUUGGAAUCAAAGUGUGGAGUGUAACAAUGUGCCUCCACACACUCACACUAGUUGAUGCUUCAUCUUGGUGAAAUCAAGUUUUUGGAAUUACCUUUCCUAAGAUCAUUCUAUUCACAGAGAAGGAGCUUAAUGAAACUAUGGUGGAUGUAUUCUAGACAGAAGAAGGAUUAAACCAAGAUAAAAACAAUGUGAAUGAGGAAAGUGGGAGUAACAGGGAUUCCAAGAGAAAGAUGCUGUGAGAAUGGGUAGCCAUCGAAAGCAAUUCUGUUCAUCAGACAAGAGUUCUUGCUAUUUACACCACAUCUGCAGUGACUUCCUCCACUGAAGUAUUGAACCUUUAAAGUCAUCCAUGAAGGUUGAAAUCAACUUCUUCCAAACUCCUCAUAGGAUUGAUAUUUUGACCUCCUCCCAUAAACGACAAAUUUUCUGAAUGUCAUCUAAAAUGGCAAUUUUUUUCCAGAAGGUUUUCAACUUUGCCCAGAUCCAUUAGAGGAAUCACUGUAGCAGUUAUAUCCUUAAUAAAUGUAUUUGUAAAAUAAUAAUACUUGAAAGUCAAAAUUACUCCUUAACUGUGGGCUACAGGAUAGAUGUUGUGUUAGCAGUCAUGAAAAAAACAUUAAUCUCCUUGAACAUCUUCAUCAGAGCUCUUGGGUAACCAGGUGCAUUGUCAGUGACCAGGAAUAUUUUGAAAGGAAUUUCAAAAGGUCUCAACAGUAAGGCUUAAAAUAUUCAAUAAACCAUACUGUAAACAGAUGUGUUGUCAUCUAGGCUUUGUUAUUUCAUUUCUAGAACAAAUGCAGAGUAUAUUUAGCAUAAUUCUUAAGGACCCCAGUAUUUUCAGAAGGGCUAAUGUGUAUCGUCUUCAUCUUAAAGCCACCAACUGUAUUAGCUCCUAAAAAGAGAGUCAGCCUGUUCUUUGAAGCUUUGAAGCUAGGCAUUGACUUCUUCUCUCUAGCUACAAAAGUUCUAGAGGGCAUCUUCUUCCAAUAGAAGGCAUUUUGGUCUACAUUAGAAAUCUGUUGUUUAGUGUAGCCAUGUUCAUCAAUUAUCUUAGGCAGGAGAACUUCAGCUGGAGAACUUGCUGUAGCUUCUUGCACUUGCUUCACUUGCACUUUUAGGUUGGAGACGGUUUUAUAAAGAUAAUUUAUUUUCUUAAAUCCCAUGAAUCAACACCUACUAGCUUUAAACUUUUCUCUUCAGCUUCCUCACCACUCUCAGACUUCAUAGAAUUGAAGAGGUUAAGGCCUUGUUCUGGAUUAAGCUUUGGCUUAAGGAAAUGUUGUGGCUGAUUUGAUCAUUUUUAUUCAGACCACUCAAAAUUUCUCCAUUAAGCCAUAGGCUGUUUUGCUUUCUUAUAAUUUGUGUGUUCACUGGAGUCACACUUUUAUUUUUUAGAGACAAGUUCUUGCUCUAUUGCCCAGGCUGCAGUGCAGUGACACAAUCAUAGCUCACUGCAACCUUGAACUCCUGGGCUCAAGUGAUCCUCCUGCCUCAGCCUCCCAGGUAGCUGGGACUAUAGACAUGCACCACCAUACUUGGCUUAUUUUUUUUAAAUAAGUCUUCACUAUGUUGCCCAGGCUGGUCUUGAACUCCUGGUCUCAAGGAAUUUCCCCACCUUAGCCUCCCAAAACUCUAGGAUUACAGGCAUAAGCCACCACACCUGUCCUGGAGUAGCACUUUUAAUUUCCAUCAAGAACUUUUCCCUUGCAUCCACAACUUGGCUACUUGUUGCAAGAGGCCUAGCUUUCAGCCUAUCCUGACUUUCAACAUGCCUUCCUCACUAAGCUUAGUCAUUUCUAGCUUUUGAUUUAAAGUGAGAGCCAUGUGGCUCUUCCUUUCACUUGAACACUUCGAGUCCAUUGUAGAGCUAUUAAUUGCCCUAAUUUUUUUAUUGUUGUUUUAAUAUUUGCUACUACCACCAAGAUCUGCGCCUGCAGUGGCUCCACCCAGGCCCAUGUUCUAUUAAGGGACAUUGCAAUGGCCCUUCUACUCAUCUUGGCAUAGUGUCUUUAGGCUUGGGAGAUCUGAGCACUGCUCUGUCCUUCCUGCUCUAGUCCCUCUACUAGCAAUGGCUGCAUAUUGGCUCAACUCCUCAGCACCAUCCAUUUUCAGGGACAGUUGAGUAGUCAGUUGAGUUGUUAUACACUCCUUAGUGGAUUCUGACUUCCAUGGUCACUGUACUGUUGUAUAAUCAACUAUCCUAAUUUCAACAUUGUUGUGUCUCAGGGAAUAGGGAGGCCUGAAGUUAAGGAGAGACAUGGAGCAAUGAUCAAUCAGUUGAGCAAUCAAAACACACACAACAAUUAUCAAUGAAGUUUACUGUCUUAUAUGGGCAUGUUUUCUGGUGCCACAAAACAAUUACAAUAGUAACAUCAAAGGUCACUGAUCACAAAUCACCGUAACAGAUAUAAUAAUAGUGGAAGUUUGAAAUAUUGCAAGAAUUACCAAAAUGUGUCACAAAGACCUGAUGGACUUGCUAGAGGCAAGGCUGCCAAAAACUUUCAAUUUGUUAAAUAUGCAAAAUCUGCAUGGUAAAAUAAAGCAUAGCACAAUAAAAAGAAAUAUGCAUGUAUACACUAUUUAUAAUGUAUAUCCCUACAUAUAAUAUAUAUCAAUAUAUAAUAAAUGUACGUAUUGUUACAUAUUUGCAAAUAUAUAUGGUGAAAUAUAUCCAUGAGUUGCCAAAUCUGUUUUCACAACAUUAUGAACCUUCAAAAACAUGCCCAGCAAGGAGUCAUGAUGGCUGUGCAUACCCACGAACAGGGUUGAUUAGAAACAACUGUUUCAUUUACACAACACUGGGUCAUAUGACAAAUAAAUAACAGCAACCUGCCUAUUUUUAAAAUUUUGACAUCUUGCUUCUCAUGAAUUUUUUUAAUUUUUGAUUUUUUAAAUUCAUUGCCUUAACUAUUAUUUAGCCUGAUUACUGAGUUUUUGGCACCACUUUUAAAAAAAUAACUCAUUUAUUUUGAAAUGAUUUUCAUUGUAUAUAUUUAUGGGGUACAACAUGACUUUUUCAUAUAUGUAUACAUAAUGGAACAAUUAAUCAAAGUAAAUAACAUAUCUUCACCUCAUAAACAUCUUUUCUGUGGUUAGAACAUUUAAAAUCUACUUUCUUAGCACUUUUCAAGUAUGUAGCACAUUAUUAUUAACUAUAGUCACUCUGCUGUAUAACAAAAUAAAUGUCCAGAACUUAAUCAUCUUGUUUAACUGAAUCUUUCUAUAUUUUGACAAACAUCUGUCCUUGUUCCCAGCCUAUGAAAAGAAUACCCUACUCUUUUGAGUUCAACUUUUUCAGAUUCUACAUAAAAGUGAGAUCAUACAGUAUUUUUUUCUGUGCCUAGCUUAUUUUACUUAGCAUAAUAUCCUGCAGAUACAUCCAUAGUAUCUCAAAUAGCAAGAUACCCUUUUUUCUAAGGCUGAAUCUUAUUCCAUUGUGUGUAUCCGUCCCAUUUUCUUUAUCCAUUCAUCCAUCAAGAGAUAUUAUUUUAUUGUCAUAUCUUGGCUAUGAAUAAUAGUUCGCUAUUAAGAAUAAUGCUGCAAUGAACAUGAGGCUGUAGAUACCUCUGUGACAUAACUGAUUUCAUUUCCUUUGGAUAUACACACAGAAGUGGAAUUGCUGGAUUAUGUGGUAGUUUUAUUUUUAAUUUUUGAGAAACCUCCAUACUACUUUUCAUAAUGGCUAUACUAAUUUACAUUCCCACAAACAGUGUGCAAGGGUUCCCUUUUCUCUACAUAUUUGCCAAUAUUUGUCUUUUGUAUUUUAAUAAAUGCUAUUCUCACAGGUGUGAAGUGAUAGCUCAUUCACACCUGUGAAUUUGCAUUCCCCUGAUGAUUAGUGAUGUGAAAUAUUUUUUUUUUUGUAUACUUAUUGGCCUUUUGAUUCUCUUCUUUUGAAAAAUAUUUAUUAAAGUUCUGUGCCCAUUUUUUAAUCAGUUUGUUUGUUUUCUUGCAUAGAGUUGAGUUCCUUAUAUAUUUUUUAAAUUAACCCUUUAUCAAAUAUAUUGUUGGUAUAGUUUGAAUAUUUGUCCCCACCCAAAUUUCAUGUUGAAAUGUAAUCCCAGUGUUGGAGUUGGACCCUGGUAGCAGGUGUUUGGAUCAUUGGGGAGGAUCCCUCAUGAAUGGCUUGGGCCGUCUCUUUGGUGAUAAGUGAGUUCUGGCUCUGAGUUCACAUAAGAUCUGGUCAUUUACAACUGUACAACAGCUCCUGGCUACUCUUUCUCUCACUUGCCACUGCCGUAUGGUGUUCCUACUCCCCCUUUGCCUUCCACCAUGAUUGUAAGCUUCCUGAAGCCUCCCCAGAGGCUGAGCAGAUACCAGCACCAGGCUUCCUGUAAAGCCUGCAGAACUGUGAGCCAAUUAAAUCCUUUUUCUUUAUAAAUUACCCAGUCUCAGACAUUUCUUUAGAUCAAUGUGAGUGAGCUAAUACAAUGGUUUACAAAUACUUUCUCUUGUUAAACAGGUUGUCUCAUGAAUAGCUUGUUGAAUGUUUCCUUUGGUGUGCAGAAGCUCUUUAGUUUGAUGUAAUCCCAUUGCUUUAUUUUUCCUUUUGCUGUCUGUGCUUUUGUGAUAAUAUUCAAUAAAUCUUUGCUAAUACCAAUAUCAUGGAGCUUUUCCUCUAGUUUUUG